UGGGGAAUAUUGGACAAUGGGCGAAAGCCUGAUCCAGCCAUGCCGCGUGUGUGAAGAAGGUCUUCGGAUUGUAAAGCACUUUGAGUUGGGAGGAAGGGCAUUAACCUAAUACGUUAGUGUUUUGACGUUACCGACAGAAUAAGCACCGGCUAACUCUGUGCCAGCAGCCGCGGUAAUACAGAGGGUGCAAGCGUUAAUCGGAAUUACUGGGCGUAAAGCGCGCGUAGGUGGUUUGUUAAGUUGGAUGUGAAAUCCCCGGGCUCAACCUGGGAACUGCAUUCAAAACUGACUGACUAGAGUAUGGUAGAGGGUGGUGGAAUUUCCUGUGUAGCGGUGAAAUGCGUAGAUAUAGGAAGGAACACCAGUGGCGAAGGCGACCACCUGGACUAAUACUGACACUGAGGUGCGAAAGCGUGGGGAGCAAACA
rnacentral:rRNA from 1 species